UACAGAGGUCUCAAGCGUUGUUCGGAUUCAUUGGGCGUAAAGGGUGCGUAGGCGGCGCGGUAAGUCGGGUGUGAAAUCUCGGAGCUAACUCCGAGCCUGCUUCCGAUACGGGCAGACUAGAGGUAGGUAGGGGAGAAUGGAAUUCCCGGUGUAGCGGUGAAAUGCGCAGAUAUCGGGAGGAACACCGGUGGCGAAGGCGGUUCUCUGGGCCUUACCUGACGCUGAGGAGCGAAAGCGUGGGGAGCGAACAGG
rnacentral:rRNA from 1 species